GAAACAGUGUCGUAUCAACAGCACAUUACAGUAAAGAAUGAUGUUUAGACAUGACAUCCAUAGAUAAUGUAGUCUAAUUGGUUCAUGCUCCACGCUAAUUGGUGACAGUGAAUCACGGUAUCUUGAAACUUUCAUGAUCUAAACAUGGAACAUUGUUUCUGUCUCCAUACAACAGAACAAUAUGGAAGUAUGUAUUAAGAGUAAUGCAACAGUUACUUAUCAUUUUGAGCAGUUGUAUCAAUUGAUAGUUAGAUCACUGUAUAGAAAUGAAUAGGCAGUAAUUUGAAAUUUAGUGUUUGA